AGGGAAGCUAUUUAAUCCGAGAGAGCGUGACUACUCCUGGUGCUUUAUGCCUCUGUAUAUUGCAUAAGACAGUUUUAUAUACCUAUCGAAUUUUGAAGAACGAUAGAGGAUAUUUCAUGUUUCAGACUGGAUCUAGCUUUAAAGAAAUAUACUUCAAAAGCCUUAUGGAUUUAAUUGCUCACUAUGGAAAGCCAGGACAAGGUCUUGUGACUCAAUUGUGCCAGCCUCUGAAGAAAGUCAAAGCUAAGUUGAGCAAACAAGAGGAUAAUGAUUGUGAAGAAAUUGACGAUUCUGAAUAUGUAGAAGUGCUCCCUUCCUGAAAAUAACUGAACUCAUCCGAUUGACGAAACUACUUUCCUUCUUUUUCUUGACGGAGAAUACUCGCCAAAGUAUUCUGCAAACCUUUUGCUUUUGACAAACUCCAUACGUUCGUCUAAUCUCACAAAUUAGACUCCAAUGCUGUAAAUUAUUUAGAAAUCCAUAAUUCUGUUAGAGAAUGUCAGUACUUUGCCUGCACCAGAUAUCAUGAUGAUAUGACAAGUUCUUAAGCUGGCGGUAAAUAAUUGUGUGAUUCUCAUGAAAAAUAUUCAACUGUUAUCAUUUUUGUUUCAAGUAAGCCUUUGAGUUAUGCAGAAGAAAAGAAAGUCUGAAGCUGCAGUGCUCCAUUGUUGCCCUAAAUAUGUUAUCUAGCUUGUAUUUUACUGUGUAUAAACAGUUACGUAUUUGUUGAAGUAUUUUCAGUAUUCAAAUAUUUUUAAAGGAUGCACUGCUCCUUGGAUUCAAUGUUGCACUUUGUCAUUCACUUACCUUUUUGUUUAGAAAUGUUGACGUUUGCUAAUUGUAGCGUUACCUGAGUUGUCACUAUGUAGUGCCUUGUGUGUUCACGUCACUGUCUUCCAUGAUCACUGCUGACCUUGUGCCUGCCUCAGACAAGAUUCCAGGCUGAAAAGAUCUUGGUGACAUGAUCGCACUAACCAAGAAUUUUAUUCUGUUUAACAAUAUUGGUGAAUUUUAUGCUUGGUGCUGGAAGGAAAGAAACACCCUAUCAUUCCAG